GGUCUCUCUAUAGUGGCCUCACGGUCUCCAGCCAGGAGCUCGAUCUUUGCUUCUGCACAAACAUUACCGAGAAACGUCUGCAAACCCCGGGCGCCCGGCUCCCACAUCACAGGCGCUGCGCCUCAGAACACAACUUGUUUCUGCCGAUCCACCCCCCACCGCCGCCUCCCCGGGCACCUCGCCACGCAGGACGCUCCGGGCUUCCCACAGCACACAGGCCAGGACGUCAGGGUCUCGUGAGGGGCCGUCGGAGAACGUCUAAGGGACGUCCCUGCAUUCCUGGCUGGAGGUCCUGCGCCAGCGCCCUCCUUGUGAGAACACUUUCGCUCUGCAAACUCUCAGAGCCCCCACCUGCUCCCGCCUCCCGUCUGUCCUGGUUCUUGGGACCCCGGAGCCUUCUCUGUCCAGACCUCCCAGGUCCUGACGGGAAUCCGGAUAAACUCCUUGGGGCGAAGGUGUUAACGGCAGGGCCCCUGUCUAAUGUAUUUCGCCACCCAGAUAAAAUGAGUGUUUUC
rnacentral:lncRNA from 10 species